GACGAACGCUGGCGGCGUGCUUAACACAUGCAAGUCGAACGGAAAGGCCUGCUUUCCCUUGUGGAUUGCGGGUACUCGAGUGGCGAACGGGUGAGUAACACGUGAGUGAUCUGCCCCAACUUGGGUAUAAGCCUGGGAAACUGGGUCUAAUUUCCGAUAGGAAUGCCGGGUGGUGCCUGUGGUGGAAAACGGUUUUCUAGUGGGUGGGGAUGGGCUCGCGGCCUAUUAGCUUGUUGGUGGGGUAAUGGCCUACCAAGGCGGCGACGGGUAGCCGGCCUGAGAGGGUGGACGGCCACAUUGGGACUGAGAUACGGCCCAGACUCCUACGGGAGGCAGCAGUGGGGAAUAUUGCACAAUGGGCGGAAGCCUGAUGCAGCGACGCCGCGUGGGGGAUGACGGCCUUCGGGUUGUAAACUCCUUUCGACCGCGAGGAAGCCACCUGGUUGGAAGGGUGGUGACGGUAGUGGUAGAAGAAGCACCGGCUAACUACGUG
rnacentral:rRNA from 1 species